UUGUUGUUGCAUUCAAGGUAGUGAAUUAGUUCACAAUUGGUAAAGCAGAAAAUGAUGUUUACGAAUUAUUUGUACAUAAAUAUGCAAAGGGAAAUGUGGAAAAGAAGCAGCCAAAAUUUCAGCAUGCAGAUAGAUUGAGGUACUGAUAUUGCAGUGAUUGCAAUGGUUCAGAGAAUUUGGAGUGUUUGAUUGAAAUUGAAAGGAAAGCGUAUUCUGUAACGGCUUGACCUUGGGUAUAUGACGAUGUAUUUGGAGAAUAAUGUAAAAGGAGAAAAAGCGGUUAUUUUAUUUUCAUAAAUCAUGGAAGUUGAAGCAAAAGGAAGAAUUAGUCUUAUACGUUAGUGAAUCAAUGGAAUGCUUGGGUGAUGAGAU